AUUUAAGGAGAUGGAUAUAUACACUAAAAUUGAAACAAUACAGAGAUUAGCAUGGCCUCUGUAAAAAGAUAACAUGCAAGUUCAUGAAGAUGAACAGAAAAUAUUCUU